rnacentral:rRNA from 1 species
CACGUAGGGCGCAAGCGUUGUCCGGAAUUAUUGGGCGUAAAGAGCUCGUAGGCGGUUUGUCGCGUCUGCCGUGAAAGUCCGGGGCUCAACUCCGGAUCUGCGGUGGGUACGGGCAGACUAGAGUGAUGUAGGGGAGACUGGAAUUCCUGGUGUAGCGGUGAAAUGCGCAGAUAUCAGGAGGAACACCGAUGGCGAAGGCAGGUCUCUGGGCGUUAACUGACGCUGAGGAGCGAAAGCAUGGGGAGCGAACAGG